GCCUGGUGGCUCAGUCGGUUGAGUGUCCGACUUCGGCUCGGGUCAUGGUCUCGCGGCUCGUGGGUUCGAGCCCCGCGUCGGGCU
rnacentral:tRNA from 1 species